rnacentral:rRNA from 1 species
AUUGAACGCUGGCGGCAGGCUUAACACAUGCAAGUCGAACGAGCGGCGGACGGGUGAGUAAUGUCUGGGAAACUGCAUGAUGGAUGGGGAUAACUACUGGAAACGGUAGCUAAUACCGCAUACCAUCAGAUGUGCCCAGAUGGGAUUAGCUAGUUGGUGGGGUAAUGGCUCACCUAGGCGACGAUCCCUAGCGGGUCUGAGAGGGUGACCAGCCAAACUGGAAAUGGGACACGGUCCAGACGCCUACGGGAGGCAGCAGUGGGGAAGAUUGCACAAGGGGCGCAAGCCUGAUGCAGCCCUGCCGCGUGUUUGAAGAAGGCCUUCGGGUUGUAAAGCACUUUCAGCGAGGAGGCGUUACUCGCAGAAGAAGCACCGGCUAACUCCGUGCCAGCAGCCGCGGUAAUUC